rnacentral:rRNA from 1 species
GACGAACGCUGGCGGCGUGCUUAACACAUGCAAGUCGAGCGGUAAGGCCCUUUCGGGGGUACACGAGCGGCGAACGGGUGAGUAACACGUGGGUGACCUGCCCUCAGCUCUGGGAUAAGCCUGGGAAACCGGGUCUAAUACUGGAUAUGACUCCAUGACGCAUGUUGUGGGGUGGAAAGCCUUGUGCGGCUGAGGAUGGGCCCGCGGCCUAUCAGCUUGUUGGUGGGGUGAGGCCUACCAAGGCGACGACGGGUAGCCGGCCUGAGAGGGCGACCGGCCACACUGGGACUGAGACACGGCCCAGACUCCUACGGGAGGCAGCAGUGGGGAAUCUUGCGCAAUGGGCGAAAGCCUGACGCAGC